rnacentral:tRNA from 1 species
UGUAAAAUAAGCUAAAUAAUAAGCUGUUGGGUUCAUACCCCAAAAAUGAAUAG